UACAGGGGGUGCAAACGUUGCUCGGAAUCAUUGGGCGUAAAGCGCACGUAGGCGGUCUGUUAUGUCGGAUGUGAAAGCCCUUGGCUUAACUGAGGAAGUGCAUCCGAAACUGGCAGGCUAGAGUACUAAAGAGGGUCGUGGAAUUCCCGGUGUAGUGGUGAAAUGCGUAGAUAUCGGGAGGAACACCAGUGGCGAAGGCGACUACCUGGCCUGUUCUUGACGCUGAGGCGCGAAAGCUAGGGGAGCAAACGGG
rnacentral:rRNA from 1 species